rnacentral:rRNA from 1 species
AAAGGCCAAUCAAACCGGGAGAUAGCUGGUUCUCCCCGAAAGCUAUUUAGGUAGCGCCUCGUGAACUCAUCUUCGGGGGUAGAGCACUGUUUCGGCUAGGGGGUCAUCCCGACUUACCAACCCGAUGCAAACUGCGAAUACCGAAGAAUGUUAUCACGGGAGACACACGGCGGGUGCUAACGUCCGUCGUGAAGAGGGAAACAACCCAGACCGCCAGCUAAGGUCCCAAAGUCAUGGUUAAGUGGGAAACGAUGUGGGAAGGCACAGACAGCCAGGAUGUUGGCUUAGAAGCAGCCAUCAUUUAAAGAAAGCGUAAUAGCUCACUGGUCGAGUCGGCCUGCGCGGAAGAUGUAACGGGGCUAAACCAUGCACCGAAGCUGCGGCAGCGACACUAUGUGUUGUUGGGUAGGGGAGCGUUCUGUAAGCCGUUGAAGGUGUACUGUGAGGUAUGCUGGAGGUAUCAGAAGUGCGAAUGCUGACAUAAGUAACGAUAAUGCGGGUGAAAAACCCGCACGCCGGAAGACCAAGGGUUCCUGUCCAACGUUAAUCGGGGCAGGGUGAGUCGACCCCUAAGGCGAGGCCGAAAGGCGUAGUCGAUGGGAAACAGGUUAAUAUUCCUGUACUUGGUGUUACUGCGAAGGGGGGACGGAGAAGGCUAUGUUAGCCGGGCGACGGUUGUCCCGGUUUAAGCAUGUAGGCGGAGGUUCCAGGUAAAUCCGGUACCUUUUUAACGCUGAGGUGUGAUGACGAGGCACUACGGUGCUGAAGUAACAAAUGCCCUGCUUCCAGGAAAAGCCUCUAAGCAUCAGGUAACACGAAAUCGUACCCCAAACCGACACAGGUGGUCAGGUAGAGAAUACCAAGGCGCUUGAGAGAACUCGGGUGAAGGAACUAGGCAAAAUGGUGCCGUAACUUCGGGAGAAGGCACGCUGAUAUGUAGGUGAAGUGGUUUACUCAUGGAGCUGAAAUCAGUCGAAGAUACCAGCUGGCUGCAACUGUUUAUUAAAAACACAGCACUGUGCAAACACGAAAGUGGACGUAUACGGUGUGACGCCUGCCCGGUGCCGGAAGGUUAAUUGAUGGGGUUAUCCGUAAGGAGAAGCUCUUGAUCGAAGCCCCGGUAAACGGCGGCCGUAACUAUAACGGUCCUAAGGUAGCGAAAUUCCUUGUCGGGUAAGUUCCGACCUGCACGAAUGGCAUAAUGAUGGCCAGGCUGUCUCCACCCGAGACUCAGUGAAAUUGAAAUCGCCGUGAAGAUGCGGUGUACCCGCGGCUAGACGGAAAGACCCCGUGAACCUUUACUAUAGCUUGACACUGAACACUGGUCCUUGAUGUGUAGGAUAGGUGGGAGGCUUUGAAGUGUGGACGCCAGUCUGCAUGGAGCCAUCCUUGAAAUACCACCCUUUAAUGGCUGGUGUUCUAACGUGGACCCGUUACCCGGGUUGCGGACAGUGUCUGGUGGGUAGUUUGACUGGGGCGGUCUCCUCCUAAAGAGUAACGGAGGAGCACGAAGGUUAGCUAAUCCUGGUCGGACAUCAGGAGGUUAGUGCAAAGGCAUAAGCUAGCUUGACUGCGAGAGUGACGGCUCGAGCAGGUGCGAAAGCAGGUCUUAGUGAUCCGGUGGUUCUGAAUGGAAGGGCCAUCGCUCAAC